rnacentral:tRNA from 1 species
CAGGGAGACAACAAAAUGUUUUAUAUCAAUUAUUUUGUCACCUUAGGUCGAUCGGUAUCUCACAUUCUUAAAUAAUUAAGAAUUUUAUUUCCUAAGUUUUUCUAGGUCACACCCAUUAUUUUUCCUGGGCCAUUAGCUCAGGUGGUUAGAGCGCACCCCUGAUAAGGGUGAGGUCCCUGGUUCAAGUCCAGGAUGGCCCAUAUCUCUAUGUUGGGGGUAUAGCUCAGUUGGUAGAGCGCCUGCUUCGCAAGCAGGAUGUCAGCGGUUCGAGUCCGCUUACCUCCACUGAUUACCACCUCUUCCAUAAUUUGAAGAAGGGAAAUGUUUUGAGUUGUGAUCAAAUACUGAAAGAAUCUAGCUUCCUAAUGAAAUCAUUAAGAUGCUGGACUCAUUGAAUUAAUUUCAUUGUUUUCAGAGAACCUUGACAACUGCAUAGAUUAUUUUUAAAGACAAUAAGCAUCUUUAAUGAUGCAGAUUGAUUAUUUGUGCGAAUGCAUUAAUAACAAUUCUAUUAAGCUGAUGCUUCAAUUUUGAGGUUAUU